rnacentral:tRNA from 1 species
GGAGAGGUGACCGAGAGGCCGAAGGUGCUCGCCUGCUAAGCGAGUGUUCUGGGAAACCGGGACCGAGGGUUCGAAUCCCUCCCUCUCCGCCA